UUGGGCUUCUGAUGACACUAACAUUUCGAUAGUUUUAUGGUCUAAAGCCCGAUAGCCCAACAAAUUAAACCCUAAUCGUGUUCAUCUCUGUUCUCUGCUCAGCGGCGACCUCUGAACUUCACACUGAAUCUGAAACGGUAGGAGUUAUCGUGGCUUUGAAUACAGGCUUAGCUUGGUUGGUUGAGUCGGUGGACCUGCGAGUAUAAAUAGCACCAGUCAUUGUUCCGGUACGGUCCUCUCGCGUCUUCUGCGAUUCUGGGAAACCCGAGGGGGAGGAUAACUGAUGGGAUUGGACAUGCUCCUUCUUGAUUCAAAAGAGAAGGUAGCCAGAUGUAACAAGGUAGCAAGAUGUAGCGCAUGGGUGCAUGAUCAGCAAUGUCACCAGGUGAUAUAGCUUUAAAGGUGUGGCGGAAUAGGUUUUCUAAGCUUCAUCUCAACUUCUCAUCAGCACUUCCAUCAUUUACCAAACAGAUUUAUGGGCCUACCAAAAAUAGACAAGCUUUGCCAUUUCUGCUACUCUUCGUUUACAUGUACAGUGUGGUAUACAGUGUGGUCGGAGUUGGAGAACAGAGGUAGCAGCUGCAAAUACUGAAGGAAGCUGAGAGCUUGACAUCUUGAAUGACAUCGACCUUGAUUCUCAAGUUAUAAUUUCCAUGCCUUUGUUCAAAAUAAAAUAUAACUAAUAGUGUGUUCUUUUCUAUUUUUUUUACUUAGCGGCCAAGAUCAAGGAUUUCGAAAGAGUUUUUUUUUUUUGUAUCUAAAGACCUGCGAUGUAAUGUAAUAUUUUUAUCCA